AGGAACAAAAGAAAAAUGGCUCCUUGACAGUGUGCUUUUUGUUUUUGUUUUGUUUCACAUUUCGACAUACCAACAAGUGUGAGAAGAACUACGAACAGUCAUGCGACGCUAAGUACAUUUUUCACACUUGCGCUCUGUUGUCCUUUUCAUCUUGCUUGCAAAAAGGAGUGGAAGCCGGCAGCGGUACAUCAUAAAAUUCAAGAAACAUUUUUUAAAAAUAAUUCCUAAGCAGAACGGCCACUCUAUUUCUUGCGUAUACAGUGAACCCUCGUUAUUAUGACCAUGGUCGUUCCCGAAAAUUUGGGUCAUAAUGCGGAAUUGUCAUAUUAACGGGGGUGAUUUACAGGGGUUUCACAGCGUUGUUCCCCAAGAGUAUGGUCGUAAAACGCGUAUGUCAUAUUAUCGGGGGUCAUAUUAACGAGGGUUCACUGUAUAUGGUACUGUCAUACUUGUAUUAAUAUGACAUUAACCCAAUUUCCAAAAUAUUCACAGCACAAAAGAGAUUGGCAAACAUAUCCAUACCAGUAAACAUCUUAUGCAUGACAAAGUGCUGAUGCAAAGCACACACAGGCACACAAGGUAUAGAUUACGAGAUCAUGCGCCCGACACAGCAGUAAUGUUAGAGGGUCCAGUACCUGAGCGGGUCCAUCAACAAAUGUUGGCAACUGUGGAGAGGCGAGGGGAGUCUGGGCGCCCUGUCUUGGGAACAGCCGUAGCCAUGGUAGGUGGGGGUGCAUCCAGUACAGGCAUUGCUGGUGAAAACGUGCUUGUGGACUACUGUCCAAGGUGCAUGCCUAGGAAGUAAAAAAAAAGAAAGAAAAGAAAAGAAAAGCUCAGUAUAAUCUAAGAAAGGCGUAGUUACAAUAAAAAUAAAGUUAUUGGAACCCUUUGCAAAUCAUGCAAUAACAGUGUAAUGUUGGCACUAGCACAGCACCAAGAGGAAAGAUGAAAGCUAAAAAACAGGUUUGUCCUGCUAUGUUUAAUUGCUUGAUCUACUUCUAUGCUAAAACUGGUGUUUGGCGGUGAACAAAACUGCUAUUAAGCACAAGGCACAGACGUAAAAAAAAAAGUCUCUGCUCAAAAUAUCAGCGACUCCCAACGCGAGGCUUCUUCAAUAUACUUGAAGCAAGGUGGUCAGCACUAGUGAAUGUACUUCUGUUAGCCAUGGCUACGUCUAACGUAUCUUCCAUGAAAUAUGACCAGUAACAAGGCCCAAAUCUCGUAACGAGAUAAAAAGAAAUAAAUAUGGGGGACUAAGCCUUUAAUGUACAUUUUUUAUAAAGUAUGCAGUGAUUGUAAUUGUGGAAUUUGUAAGCAAACAAACAUGGUAACCACACACAAAAAAUAACUCACCUCAGAUGUGGCAGAAUCAGUGUCAAUUGCUCGCACAAAUCCUGUUGUGCCACUCGCUUCCUCACAGGUCUUGAGGCUGCCGUUCCAGGGAAAAGGUUUGGCUGAGAAGAAACGAACUCGUGUCUUCAGUGUCCAGUCUAAAGGGAGCUGGGGAUGGUGACCUUCCUACAAAAGAAAAAUAACAGAACCCGUAUUAUAGCAACCUAAGGGAACAAAACAGCAUCUGUAUCAACUAGCAUGCUCCCUGCAAUUGUAUGAUCAAAACAAUACAAACAAAAAUAUCUGUUUGCUUUAGCAAUCACUGGUUUCCCCACACACAUUUUUUGUACUCUGUACUCUCACAUAAUUGGACAGUGACGAAUGGAAUCCAUAUCUGUUUUUACAGUUUCAAAAGUUGACAGCCCUGAAAGUGCCAGGGUAGCGGCCCCAGUUCGGUCGAUAGCAGCCAAAAUGUAAACAGCACGGGCCGCAGAAAUGGGUACAGUGUUCAAGGAUGGAGGUGCCAGGUGGUCAGUGCUCAUGACAUCUUGCUAUGUACAGUAUUCCAAUAAAAUUCAACAGAGCAGCUGGUCACAUAAUAGAGCACAUUUGAGCUCCUUCGCUGCCACUGCAUGGAAAUUUCAAGACAAGAUGGCCCGAACCUGGCAUUUUUUAGAUUUGCAAUGCCCUCCUCCAAUCCAAGGAAUGAUAUAAUCACAGAAGUAUGAUGCAUAC